UGCUUCAACACCUUCACUUAUGAUCAUCUUACCUUGAUGGAUUGAGAAAGAAUGGAGACAUUGUAAUCCUACGAGCAAUGCUCAUUGGUCCAUAUCAACAAGAACACAUGCAUGACGUCAGAUUUCAUGUUUAUUGAAGGUCAGUUCACCAGCAGGAUGUGUUCCACUACUUAAUUGAAGCUGCUUCGAAAGUUCUCUGAGGUGCCGACCUCUUUCAUGAUGGUCACGACACGUGAAGUGGUAGUUCUGCCAAAACAAAACAAGGACUUUACACACGUUUGCUUCUUGGUGAUUUCAUGUUGCUUUCCUGAGCCUGGUCACCUGGCACUCUCGCCGUCCAGCAGCCGGCGGUACUCAACAAUCUCUAGCUCCAGUCGGGUCUUGAUGUCCAGAAGCUCACCAAAUUGCACCUUUUGGUUCUCCAGUUCUGCUCUCAGCUGAGUUAGUUGCCCCUCCAGGAUCCCUACUUGCCUCUGGUAGCCUAGCAAUAUGUUGGCGUAGCGACCACGUGUCUCAGCCAGUGUUCCCUCCAGUGCACCUUUCUGUACCACCAGACCCAAACAUAUUUGACCAAAGUUAGAAGAAACACUGAAUGUCACAUGUUCAAAGUGAAGGCUUUUGCGGGAUCACCUGGCUGAUCUCCGCCUGCAGUUGGAUCUCCAGGGUCUGCACGGUUCUUCGCAAUUCUCCGAUCUCAGACUUGGACGUUUGCAGUGUCGUGGUGCUCGUCACCACGUCCUUGUUGAGCUCGGCCAUCUUGACAAGACAGGACAACUUGAUAAGAUCUAGAUAAUUUUGGCGAGCCAGCAGGUGCCACCAUAGAGCUGAGCUCGGCCAAUCUGUGAAGACUUUUCACACUCACCUUAGCCUGGAACCAGUUUUCCAAGUCUCUUUGGUUUCUUGAGGCGACGUUCUCGUAAUGUUCUCUGAUUCCGGCCAAGACGGCAGAGAGAUCUUCCUGAGGGGCAGCAUCCACCUCCACGUCGACCUGGCCGCCCAACUGCGCUCGAACGGCGCGCAGAUCCUGUGGGCGCUGACGUUUAGGACUGCGUUUUGUCGAGCAUUCAAUGUUCUGCUGCUGCUCACCUCCUCAUGGUUCCUCUUCAUGUAGGUCAGCUCCUCCCUCAACCCUUCCACCUGCAUUUCCAGGUCGGUGCGACUCUGGGUCAGCUCGUCUAAAACCGGCUUCAGCCCGGCCAUGUCGGCCUCAACGGAUCGGCGCAUUGCAACUUCAUUGUCGCACCUGAACGUCAUCACAACAAUCUACAAAACGUCUUUCAGUCACAAUCUAGUUCGGCCGUUUGAGGCGUUACUCACUUGACACGAAAGUCGUCGGCCGCCAGCCUGGCGUUGUCGAUGCUAAGGAUCAUUGCAGCUUUUGCACGAGCGCCAUUUUGAAUCUAAGUGGAAACAAAGGCGGAUCUUAGCGGUUUGACAAUGUCAGCCUUUCGGUGUGAUCUCACCUCUUCUUGCAGGCUUUUGAUCCGAACAAAGAAGGCGGUCCAGUCAUGCUCAGCUGGCCCUAUUUUGCUCGCCAAGAAGUUUCUAAUCUUCAGCUCCAGCUCGCUGUUUGCUUCUUCCAGCCUACGUACCUUCUCCAGGUAGGAUCCUAGCCGGGAGUUAAGGUUCUGCAUAGUGAACUUCUCGUUGGCAGAGACGGCCGUUUCGUUGGCGAGGUUGAAGCCGCCACCUUUGACCAUGGAGACGCGUACCCCAGAGCCACCGGCGCCACCGUAGACGCUGCCGGCGCCCAGGUUGCUGACACGGGAGGACAUAGUGUAGCUGCGGCUGGAGAAGGAGGCCAUGCUGAUGUGGUCUGUGUGGGAGAGACUGAAAAUAUGCUGGCACCACACAUCCUUUUAAACCUCUGAUUGAGGGUGGGGUCCAAAAGAAAGUCCUGAGGCCAGAAAAUGUACAGGUAGGUGCAGCAGGUCGGGUGGGUUCUCGCUAUACACACUUUGUGGCUGUGGGCGACGCCUCCAAGACACCUAAAGGCUGCCUGACAUUUUUGAAGUGUGCAGCUUAUGCCUGCAAGGGACGAUGCUAAUGAUGAACAACCAGGCAGCUGUGUUAUUCAACAACAAUUUCUUGCUCAAAAGCACGUAACGGUCUUCCCUUCACCAAUUUCCUUUUUAACAGAGAAGACGCCUGGAAACAAAUCUGCUUUUGGAGCUAAGACUUGAAACACAGGAUGUUCCUGAUGUUGGACUCCUGCCUUUUAACAGAAGUUCCAGCAAAGACAAACAAAGAUGACCCGAGGAGCGAAGGUUGCCAUGACAACAGAUCUUGGUAAGGUCAUAAAUCAUGCCACUCACCUGGAUAGUAGAAGGAUGAGGACUUACUUUGACAAGUUGGUACACCUUGACAGCCAACUAAAUGGCGAGGAUUACAUGAAAAGACGCUUGGUCCAACCCCCCCUUUUCUUGGUAGGGAUUGUGGGUCAUUCUUCAUCUAAAUGGGACUACAUCAACAUCCUAGCAGUUGACAUCCUAAAGGCAGCAGACAUUGUACAGACACAACAGCAGUGACUAGCAUGGCAGAAGCUGGAUUCAAACCAGUAAACCUCAAGUUGGCAGCUGAGCCCCGCCCCCAACGUGAUUGACUGCUAUCCGCUAACGAGUGGUCACACCUGCCGAUGUCGAUGCAGAAGUCUCCUCGGAUGCUUCCUGGUUUGGAGUCGGCCGGGUUGGUCUCUCCCAGCAUCAUCCUGGCCAUCUUGACAAUGCCCCGCCCCUCCCACACCUGCAGCAUCAGGGGACGUCAUCACGUGACAUCAUCGGGGGACACCAUCAUGUGACAUCAAGUGACACCAUCGGGGGACGUCAUGACAUGACAUCAUCAGGUGAAAUCAUGACGUGACAUCGCGUGACACCAAGUGACAUCAUGACGUCACAUCAAGUGACACCAUCAGGGGACGUCAUGACAUGUCAUCAUCAGGUGACAUCAUGACGUGAUAUCGCGUGACACCAUCAAGUGACAUCAUGACGUCACAUCAAGUGCACCAUCAGGGGACGUCAUGACAUGUCAUCAUCAGGUGACAUCAUGACGUGAUAUCGCGUGACACCAUCAAGUGACGUCAUGACGUGACAUCAAGUGACACCAUCAGGGGACGUCAUGACAUGACAUCAUCAGGUGAAAUCAAGUGACACCAUCAGGGGAUGUCAUGACAUGACAUCAGGUGACAUCAUGACGUGACAUCGCGUGACACCAUCAAGUGACGUCAUGACGUGACAUCAAGUGACACCAUCAGGGGACGUCAUGACAUGUCAUCAUCAGGUGACAUCAUGACGUGAUAUCGCGCGACACCAUCAAGUGACGUCAUGACGUGACAUCAAGUGACACCAUCAGGGGAUGUCAUGACAUGACAUCAUCAGGUGAAAUCAAGUGACACCAUCAGGGGAUGUCAUGACAUGACAUCAGGUGACAUCAUGACGUGACAUCGCGUGACACCAUCAAGUGACGUCAUGACGUGACAUCAAGUGACACCAUCAGGGGAUGUCAUGACAUGACAUCAUCAGGUGACAUCAUCAGGUCACAUGGUGACACCAUCAGGUGACGUCGUGACAUCAUGAGGUGUCAGAAAAAGAAGUGGUUACCAUGGCGAAGACGGGUCCGGAUGACAUGUAUUUGCAGAGCGCGGCGUAGAAGGGCGUGUCCUUCAGGUCCAAAUAAUGUGUCUUCAUGUGGUCUUCUGACGCCUGAAACAUAAACACACCCCCUUUUGCCAUCAUGGCGGCCGUGUCGGACAGUUGCCAUGGUUACCUGCAUGAACUUUGCAGCAAGCAGCUUGAAGCCUCUCUGCUCGAAGCGCUUGAUGAUGUCACCGCACAAACCUCUCUGGACGCCAUCGGGCUUCACGGCGAUGAAGGUGCGCUCCAUGUCAGUGGUG